rnacentral:rRNA from 1 species
GAUGAACGCUGGCGGCGUGCCUAAUACAUGCAAGUCGAGCGAACAGACGAGGAGCUUGCUCCUCUGACGUUAGCGGCGGACGGGUGAGUAACACGUGGAUAACCUACCUAUAAGACUGGGAUAACUUCGGGAAACCGGAGCUAAUACCGGAUAAUAUAUUGAACCGCAUGGUUCAAUAUUGAAAGACGGUUUUGCUUUCACUUAUAGAUGGAUCCGCGCCGCAUUAGCUAGUUGGUAAGGUAACGGCUUACCAAGGCAACGAUGCGUAGCCGACCUGAGAGGGUGAUCGGCCACACUGGAACUGAGACACGGUCCAGACUCCUACGGGAGGCAGCAGUAGGGAAUCUUCCGCAAUGGGCGAAAGCCUGACGGAGCAACGCCGCGUGAGUGAUGAAGGUCUUCGGAUCGUAAAACUCUGUUAUUAGGGAAGAACAAAUGUGUAAGUAACUAUGCACGUCUUGACGGUACCUAAUCAGAAAGCCACGGCUAACUACGUG